rnacentral:lncRNA from 1 species
UUUAAAGACACAUUCAAUUUAGGCUCAGUUGGAUGGCUUCUAAUAUUUUCCUGAAAACUCCAAUUUCACUAUGGAGUCUAAGGCUGAUAGUCCUGAGCUUAAAAGCUCUCAGUUUGCAAACAAAACAAAACAAAACUUCAGGCAGUCUUUUUAAACAUGUAUUUUUAUUUUUAAUUGCCAUUAUAGUAAAUGUAUAUAUUUAUGGGGUAGAGUAUAACAUUUUAAUACAUGCAUGGAAUGUGUAAGAAUCAGAUCAGUGUAACUGACAUAUCUAUUACCUCAGACAUUUAUCUUUGUGUUGGGAACAUUCAAAACCCUCUCUAGUAUCUAUUUUGAAAUAUUGAGUUAAUUGUUGACAACCAUUAUUAUCCUACCAUGCUAUAGGACAUUAGAAGUUGUUCCUCUCAUCCAACUGCUGUAACCUCUGUAAGCACAACCUCCCCUUCCUGCCAUCUCCCUCCCCCAGAUCCUCCCCAGACUCUGGUAACCACUAUUCUAUUCCCUACUUCUUUGAGGUCAACUGCUUAGCUUCCACGUGUGUUAGUCAGUUUUCCAUGACUGUAAUACCUGAGUAACCAACUUAAAAAGAGGUUUAUUUUGGCUCUCAGUUUCAGAGGAACCAGUCCCUGAUUAGGUGGCCCUGUGGCUUGCAGCUUGUGGUGAGUCAGCACAUGGUAGAUCAACCUACUCUGGACAGCUAGGAACCAAAACGAGAGGAAGAGGAUGGGCCAGAGGCACAAGGCCCCCUUUAAGGGCACGCCCUCCUAUGUCUAGAAGACUUGUAACUGGGCCCAACCUCUGAAAGGUUUCACACCUCUCAGGACACCAUGGUCUGGGCACCAAUCCCAAGCCUUUAACAUGUGGGCCUUUGGAAGUCUUAUCCAAACUGUAGCCACCUGUAAGGGAGAACACGUCCUACCUGUCUUUGUGUGCCUGACCUAUUUCACUUAACAUAAAGUCCUCC